UAGGAAAUAAAGUUCCCUUUCGGCCCUGCCUUUUGUUUUCCCCAACUCCCCUGCCGACCGUCGCUAGGGUUCCAGCCGCCGCGGCUGCCGUUUGGGCUCUGCCGCGACUCACGAUGGUUUUCCGUUGUCUCUCAGCACUGCUGUAGGUUCGGGAGCUCCGGGCGUUGGGCAUCAAUCUUCAGUUUGAUCGUCAGCCUAUUUCGGGUUUUAAGGCAAGUGCAGAUGGAGUUUUCUUUUUUGUGGUUGACUGCACAUGUUCCAUGCUAUUUUUUUCCCUGUGUUUGUUGUCCAACUCAGAGUAUAUGCACAAGGCAUAGGUUGACUAAUCCGGCACGGACCAGAGUGAGAAAUGUCAAAUAUGUCUAGUCCGGUGAGGAAAGGACACGGGAUGUGUCUAAUCCGGAAAGCAAUGUGUUCAGCUAUGCAUUUGUGUUAAUUCAGAUUUAUGUCAGAAUUCAUCUUAAGAAAAUGUUUGAUGUUCAGUUUACACCAUGUAUUUGGCUGAGUAUUUUACUCAUACUUGUUUCUUCUUGUUGAA